rnacentral:rRNA from 1 species
CAAUAGCGUAUAUUAAAGUUGUUGCAGUUAGAAAGCUCGUAGUUGGAUUUGUGGCGUACGGUGUGUUCCGGGCACUUGUUGUCUGAGUAACCUGCUGUUGCCAUCCUUGGGUGGAACCUGUGUGGCAUUAGGUUGUCGUGCAGGGGAUGCCCAUCAUUUACUGUGAAAAAAUUAGAGUGUUCAAAGCAGGCUUAUGCCGUUGAAUAUAUUAGCAUGGAAUAAUGAGAUAGGACUUUUUUGCUAUUUUGUUGGUUUGCGCAAGAAGGUAAUGAUUAAUAGGGACAGUUGGGGGUAUUCGUAUUCCAUUGUCAGAGGUGAAAUUCUUGGAUUUUUGGAAGACGAACUACUGCGAAAGCAUUUACCAAGGAUGUUUUCAUUAA